rnacentral:rRNA from 1 species
UUUGGUGGCUAUAGCAUUGGGGAUCCACCUCUAACCAUUCCGAACAGAGAAGUUAAGCCCAAUAACGCCGAUGGUACUAUUACGAUGGGAGAGUAGGUAGCCGCCCUUU